rnacentral:rRNA from 1 species
UUUUAUGGAGAGUUUGAUCCUGGCUCAGGAUGAACGCUGGCGGCGUGCCUAAUACAUGCAAGUCGAGCGAACGGAUGAGAAGCUUGCUUCUCUGAUGUUAGCGGCGGACGGGUGAGUAACACGUGGAUAACCUACCUAUAAGACUGGGAUAACUUCGGGAA